rnacentral:lncRNA from 1 species
GCCGGGCAGUGGUGGCGCACGCCUUUAAUCCCAGCACUCGGGAGGCAGAGGCAGGCGGAUUUCUGAGUUCAAGGCCAGCCUGGUCUACAGAGUGAGUUCCAGGACAGCCAGGGCUACACAGAGAGACCCUGUCUCAAAACAACAACAAAAAAAGUUAAUUAGAUUUGAUUUUUUUUUCCCUUGGUUUUUCGAGACAGGGUUUCUCUCUGUAUAUCCCUGGCUGUCCUGGAAUUCACUCUGUAGACCAAGCUGGCCUCAGACUCAGA